AAAUUGUGUAUUACUGGUAUAGUUUCGAAUCAUGCAAAUAUAUUAUAAAUCGUGAAUGACAACUGCAAUUUCUGAAGAAUUCCAAUAUCUGCGAGUGUUCACAUUUUCAAGUGAUCACUGUAUCAAAAACAACAAAUACUCGGUAAUUAUUAUAACUUGAAUGAAAGCGAAGUGCAACAGCCGCCGACAACAAGCUCGCCUGACGGAAAGAAUAACAACAAAAUGCCAAAGAAUUUGCGUCGGCAUUUGUUUUUAUGCUGACAUUCGAGAACACGAACUGAAAGGUGGCAGAACUCUGUGAGAGUGAGAGAGAGAGACAAGGGAGCGAUGCGCAGAAGCAACAGGGUGUCACAGCUAGUGCUAUUAUAUAAAAGUAAAUCACUGAAUGUAAAAUUCAAGCUAAUAUUGUUAAAUAUCAAUGUUAAGUAAAAAAAUGAACUAAAACCUGAGUGUGAUUCACACUUGA